GACGUAGGGCGCGAGCGUUGUCCGGAUUUAUUGGGCGUAAAGAGCUCGUAGGCGGCUUGUCGCGUCGACUGUGAAAUCCCGCGGCUCAACCGCGGGCUUGCAGUCGAUACGGGCAGGCUUGAGUUCGGUAGGGGAGACUGGAAUUCCUGGUGUAGCGGUGAAAUGCGUAGAUAUCGGGAGGAAUACCGAUGGCGAAGGCAGGUCUCUGGGCUGACACUGACGCUCAUGCACGAAAGCGUGGGGAGCAAACAGG
rnacentral:rRNA from 1 species